AAUCGUUGUCAAUAAUCAUGGAAAGUGAUAACUCUUAAAGAUACGUUGAGCAUACGAGUUUAAACGAAAAAAAUUAUGAACGCAUUUGUCCUAGUGAUUAGCCUAAUUAUCGUGAGCGUGGUGGUGAUUAUUAUCCCACCGUGCGGGGCUGCACUUGGACGAAGGAAGGCUUAAACAGAAAAAUAGCCAGAUUUCACAAAAACCCCCGCACCGAAAGGCGCGGGGGUUUUUUUUGACACGUAGAAACGCAUAACAAAACAACAUCACAGCAAGCCAUUUACAAGCUAAAUACAACAGAG
rfam:Xenorhabdus bovienii SS-2004 chromosome, complete genome